UACGGAGGGGGCUAGCGUUGUUCGGAAUUACUGGGCGUAAAGCGCACGUAGGCGGCUUUGUAAGUUAGAGGUGAAAUCCUGGAGCUCAACUCCAGAACUGCCUUCGAUACUGGCGAUCUUGAGUCCGGAAGAGGUGAGUGGAACUCCUAGUGUAGAGGUGGAAUUCGUAGAUAUUAGGAAGAACACCAGUGGCGAAGGCGGCUCACUGGUCCGGUACUGACGCUGAGGUGCGAAAGCGUGGGGAGCAAACAGG
rnacentral:rRNA from 1 species